CGCACUCCUUAGGUAGGUGAGCCUGGGCCGUUACCAUGGCAGUGCACUCCUUAGGUAUGUGAGCCUGGGCUGUUACCAUGGCAGCGCACUCCUUAGGUAGGUGAGCCUGUGCCGUUACCAUGGCGGCGCACUCCUUAGGUAUGUGAGCCUGGGCCGUUACCAUGGCAGCGCACUCCUUAGGUAGGUGAGCCUGGGCCGUUACCAUGGCAGUGCAAUCGUUAGGUAUGUGAGCCUGGGCUGGUACCACGACGACACACUCGUUCCAUAGGUGAUCCCAAGCUGUUACCAUGGCAGUGCACUCCUUAGGUAUGUGAGCCUGGGCUGUUACCAUGACGACACACUCGUUCCAUAGGUGAUCCCAAGCUGUUACCAUGGCGGUGUGCUCCUUACGUAGGUAAACCUAGGAUUUUAAUCUAACGUUCGGGAAACAGCUAGCUGUGUCUGGGCUAAGAGAGCCGACCAUCCAUAUGAAUGACAUCCCAGAUGUAUUAGUGGGUUGGACUUGAGGUGGGGGGGCAUGUGGGGCUGUAGAACCCCCCACACACUCACUACUUUGGGUUCUCCUUCUGACAGUCUCAAGUUCUGCGAAAUACUCCUGAGCUCUGUUCACUGGAUUCGGCAGUGCCGCAGUACGUUAUCCAAACACGCUUUCUGUGGGAUUAUGUUGUCUUUGCUCCCAGUAUAAAUCUUGGUGCCUUCUUGCAUUUCCAUUAUGUUUCUCUGGAGCUCCCCUAUCUCCGACAUGCCCUCACAGAAACAGUCAUUCCACGACAGGUUGUCAGCCAUGUUGGCCAAUUCGCUGUAUUUGAUGAGUUUCUUUUAAAAUGGAAGCCAAAUCCUGCCAGUCCCGCAUCUUGUUGUAAGGUUUCUGGUUUUUGGAAGAAUUUUUUUGUUUCGUUUUGUCCAUUAUACUGAGGUUCCUCCAGUUUCCCAUCUCCAUGCUCCAUGACUUGAUCCCCUUGGGGAUUAACUGAGCCCACAGACAAGAGCCCAACACGCUAAGCACAAAAAUGUAGCAGGAUUCCCGGUCUGGAGCACUGGCCCUGAAGCGUCUGGUUUCCAGGUUUCCUGUUUAACUGGCUGCACCUCUAC